UCGCUACGUUCGCUAUAUUGUAGACCAGUAACAUAGUCACUAGCAAACUCGAAAGCAAUCAUUAGAUUGGCAAAUGUAAAUUCUUCUCGAUUGUCCGGUUGUCUGUCACGCAAUUUUUUGAAACUAUUCGUCAUGUAAUCAAGUACGCAGCUGGCAAUGUCACUAGCCUCGAAAUCCUCCCAUUGAUGUUGUUGAAAAUACUCAAGAAAGAACAAGCCAAUGCAGAUCACACGGUCGUACUGCUCUUCUUUGUUAUAACACAUGCUAACAUAUUGGCAGAGGUGUGAAAGACUAAACAGAUUGGCUCCGGGACUGAUGCUGUGCAUAAUUCGCUGGCUAACCAAAACGCUCUGAGUAAAGAGCUGAAGGUCUGAUGCGUUGAUUUGCUCCAGUUGUUCUUGUGUGGUAAAUUCAAAUGUAAAGCCCAUAGCUUUACGAGCAUUGUCAGACGAAAACGGGACCUCAGGUUUGGGUAUGACCUGCCAUCCGUCAGUGGUCGCAUUACGAAGAUUAAUGGCUUUUUCCCAGCAGACCAGCCCGAGCUCUCGUGUUCCGUGUAUGUUGAAAAAGCACAGAUUGUAUCUCAGCCUCAAUCAGAUGGGUGAUUAUAUGUGUCUGCCCGCAAAGAAUAGCUGCGAAUAAUGGUGGAACUUGCGGAUAUUCAACACCGUUCCACAUAAAUCGCCCAUGCUGACUUACAGGUUAUUGAUUGCGUAUCCCAUCUAUUACGUACUGCGGGAGAGGAGUCAGCAGUUUGCGGAACUUGACGCCAGACUUUUUGCCAAACUUUACGCAUACCGCUCAGUGUAUCUUGCCAAACUCGCUGCAACAUGUAUCGCCAAACAUAACCAACCGGUGCUCGGGAAUCCAUUUUUGAAAAAAGGUAAAGAGUGAUGAUUUCGAAAGAUUUAUUGAGGGGACAUUUCAUCCGCUUAUAGCCAUUCUUCCAUGGCACCGGCCCUCUGGCAAAUUGGCAUUACCUCAGAAUUCCGAGUGUAGAAUCAAAGUAUCUGACUAAACCAACCUAUGCGUUGUUGUUAUGGUUGUAUAGAAAUGAAUCGCUUAUUGUUCAGUAUUUUUACGCAGUAAUUGUGCUAGAUUUUAUUGUUUAUUUUUGUU